rnacentral:tRNA from 1 species
GGCUAUAGCUCAGCUGGGAGAGCGCUUGCAUGGCAUGCAAGAGGUCAGCGGUUCGAUCCCGCUUAGAU